GUAUUGGUGGUUCAGUGGUAGAAUUCUCACCUUCCACGUGGGAGACCUGGGUUUGAUUCCCGGCUAAUACA
rfam:Loxodonta africana unplaced genomic scaffold scaffold_31, whole genome shotgun sequence.